rnacentral:rRNA from 1 species
GGGUUGUGAGGUUAAGCGACUAAGCGUACACGGUGGAUGCCCUGGCAGUCAGAGGCGAUGAAGGACGUGCUAAUCUGCGAUAAGCGUCGGUAAGGUGAUAUGAACCGUUAUAACCGGCGAUUUCCGAAUGGGGAAACCCAGUGUGUUUCGACACACUAUCAUUAACUGAAUCCAUAGGUUAAUGAGGCGAACCGGGGGAACUGAAACAUCUAAGUACCCCGAGGAAAAGAAAUCAACCGAGAUUCCCCCAGUAGCGGCGAGCGAACGGGGAGCAGCCCAGAGCCUGAAUCAGUGUGUGUGUUAGUGGAAGCGUCUGGAAAGGCGCGCGAUACAGGGUGACAGCCCCGUACACAAAAAUGCACAUAUUGUGAGCUCGAUGAGUAGGGCGGGACACGUGGUAUCCUGUCUGAAUAUGGGGGGACCAUCCUCCAAGGCUAAAUACUCCUGACUGACCGAUAGUGAACCAGUACCGUGAGGGAAAGGCGAAAAGAACCCCGGCGAGGGGAGUGAAAAAGAACCUGAAACCGUGUACGUACAAGCAGUGGGAGCACGCUUAGGCGUGUGACUGCGUACCUUUUGUAUAAUGGGUCAGCGACUUAUAUUCUGUAGCAAGGUUAACCGAAUAGGGGAGCCGAAGGGAAACCGAGUCUUAACUGGGCGUUAAGUUGCAGGGUAUAGACCCGAAACCCGGUGAUCUAGCCAUGGGCAGGUUGAAGGUUGGGUAACACUAACUGGAGGACCGAACCGACUAAUGUUGAAAAAUUAGCGGAUGACUUGUGGCUGGGGGUGAAAGGCCAAUCAAACCGGGAGAUAGCUGGUUCUCCCCGAAAGCUAUUUAGGUAGCGCCUCGUGAAUUCAUCUCCGGGGGUAGAGCACUGUUUCGGCAAGGGGGUCAUCCCGACUUACCAACCCGAUGCAAACUGCGAAUACCGGAGAAUGUUAUCACGGGAGACACACGGCGGGUGCUAACGUCCGUCGUGAAGAGGGAAACAACCCAGACCGCCAGCUAAGGUCCCAAAGUCAUGGUUAAGUGGGAAACGAUGUGGGAAGGCCCAGACAGCCAGGAUGUUGGCUUAGAAGCAGCCAUCAUUUAAAGAAAGCGUAAUAGCUCACUGGUCGAGUCGGCCUGCGCGGAAGAUGUAACGGGGCUAAACCAUGCACCGAAGCUGCGGCAGCGACGCUGAUGCGUUGUUGGGUAGGGGAGCGUUCUGUAAGCCUGUGAAGGUGUGCUGUGAGGCAUGCUGGAGGUAUCAGAAGUGCGAAUGCUGACAUAAGUAACGAUAAAGCGGGUGAAAAGCCCGCUCGCCGGAAGACCAAGGGUUCCUGUCCAACGUUAAUCGGGGCAGGGUGAGUCGACCCCUAAGGCGAGGCCGAAAGGCGUAGUCGAUGGGAAACAGGUUAAUAUUCCUGUACUUGGUGUUACUGCGAAGGGGGGACGGAGAAGGCUAUGUUGGCCGGGCGACGGUUGUCCCGGUUUAAGCGUGUAGGCUGGUUUUCCAGGCAAAUCCGGAAAAUCAAGGCUGAGGCGUGAUGACGAGGCACUACGGUGCUGAAGCAACAAAUGCCCUGCUUCCAGGAAAAGCCUCUAAGCAUCAGGUAACAUCAAAUCGUACCCCAAACCGACACAGGUGGUCAGGUAGAGAAUACCAAGGCGCUUGAGAGAACUCGGGUGAAGGAACUAGGCAAAAUGGUGCCGUAACUUCGGGAGAAGGCACGCUGAUAUGUAGGUGAAGUCCCUCGCGGAUGGAGCUGAAAUCAGUCGAAGAUACCAGCUGGCUGCAACUGUUUAUUAAAAACACAGCACUGUGCAAACACGAAAGUGGACGUAUACGGUGUGACGCCUGCCCGGUGCCGGAAGGUUAAUUGAUGGGGUCAGCGCAAGCGAAGCUCUUGAUCGAAGCCCCGGUAAACGGCGGCCGUAACUAUAACGGUCCUAAGGUAGCGAAAUUCCUUGUCGGGUAAGUUCCGACCUGCACGAAUGGCGUAAUGAUGGCCAGGCUGUCUCCACCCGAGACUCAGUGAAAUUGAACUCGCUGUGAAGAUGCAGUGUACCCGCGGCAAGACGGAAAGACCCCGUGAACCUUUACUAUAGCUUGACACUGAACAUUGAGCCUUGAUGUGUAGGAUAGGUGGGAGGCUUAGAAGUGUGGACGCCAGUCUGCAUGGAGCCGACCUUGAAAUACCACCCUUUAAUGUUUGAUGUUCUAACGUUGACCCGUAAUCCGGGUUGCGGACAGUGUCUGGUGGGUAGUUUGACUGGGGCGGUCUCCUCCUAAAGAGUAACGGAGGAGCACGAAGGUUGGCUAAUCCUGGUCGGACAUCAGGAGGUUAGUGCAAUGGCAUAAGCCAGCUUGACUGCGAGCGUGACGGCGCGAGCAGGUGCGAAAGCAGGUCAUAGUGAUCCGGUGGUUCUGAAUGGAAGGGCCAUCGCUCAACGGAUAAAAGGUACUCCGGGGAUAACAGGCUGAUACCGCCCAAGAGUUCAUAUCGACGGCGGUGUUUGGCACCUCGAUGUCGGCUCAUCACAUCCUGGGGCUGAAGUAGGUCCCAAGGGUAUGGCUGUUCGCCAUUUAAAGUGGUACGCGAGCUGGGUUUAGAACGUCGUGAGACAGUUCGGUCCCUAUCUGCCGUGGGCGCUGGAGAACUGAGGGGGGCUGCUCCUAGUACGAGAGGACCGGAGUGGACGCAUCACUGGUGUUCGGGUUGUCAUGCCAAUGGCACUGCCCGGUAGCUAAAUGCGGAAGAGAUAAGUGCUGAAAGCAUCUAAGCACGAAACUUGCCCCGAGAUGAGUUCUCCCUGACCCUUUAAGGGUCCUGAAGGAACGUUGAAGACGACGACGUUGAUAGGCCGGGUGUGUAAGCGCAGCGAUGCGUUGAGCUAACCGGUACUAAUGAACCGUGAGGCUUAACCUUACAACGCCGAAGCUGUU